UCUCUCUUGUGCUCAAGACUUCUUCCCAUUUUUCAUUGCACUUGCGACUCCUUCCCCUUCUUACUUAUACUCGUGACACCUAGAGUAGAGCAGCAGUCGCCGCUCCCUCUCCAUGCCUCUCCGGGACCUGCAUCUAUAUGCGCUACUCCUCUCCACACUGCUAGAGGAGCUGCCACUCCAUCUCCACUCCUCUCCGAACCUACCUCUCUACGAAGGACAGGCGGGUCCUCUAGCACGGGUGGCGGGGGUGGCCAAGGUGGGGCCCUUUAUGUCCUGUGGGCUUGCUCUAUGAGGUCUGAUGUCUUGCAUCUUGUAGGCUUGAUCCGAUGGAAUUCUAUGGAGGGCGGCCAUAUCCGAUGGAUGGGGCCAGAUCUGAUCGACGACAGCCAGAUCCAGUGGAAGGUGGCGAUAGUAGGGCAUGUAGAUCUAGUGGACACCGCAACGGGUGCAUGGAGGGCGACAAGUGGUGUGCAUGGUGGAUACUGUAGACGGAGGCUCUAGAAGGUGGAGCUGCAUCCGGAACCUCAAGUAAUUUUUUUUUUAUUUUUUCUGGCAGGUGUUGUAGUGUGUCCACCUCCAAAAAUACUAUUUCCAUAGGCAGGCUUUGAAAUGUGUCUGCCUCCGAAAAGGUAUUUUGGAGGCGGUGCUUUUGACCGUCUCGGUUAAAAGCAUUUAACGAAGACCUUUGAUUA